UACGAAGGGGGCUAGCGUUGCUCGGAAUCACUGGGCGUAAAGGGCGCGUAGGCGGCCGGCCAAGUCGGGGGUGAAAGCCUGUGGCUCAACCACAGAAUGGCCCUCGAUACUGGACGGCUCGAGACCGGAAGAGGUUGGUGGAAUUGCGAGUGUAGAGGUGAAAUUCGUAGAUAUUGGGAGGAACACCAGUGGCGAAGGCGGCUCACUGGACCGGUACUGACGCUGAUGCGCGAAAGCGUGGGGAGCAAACGGG
rnacentral:rRNA from 1 species